GAUUAAGUUAUUAAGGGCGCACGGUGGAUGCCUUGGCACUAGAAGCCGAUGAAGGACGUUACUAACGACGAUAUGCUUUGGGGAGCUGUAAGUAAGCUUUGAUCCAGAGAUUUCCGAAUGGGGAAACCCAGCAUGAGUUAUGUCAUGUUAUCGAUAUGUGAAUACAUAGCAUAUCAGAAGGCACACCCGGAGAACUGAAACAUCUUAGUACCCGGAGGAAGAGAAAGAAAAUUCGAUUCCCUUAGUAGCGGCGAGCGAAACGGGAAGAGCCCAAACCAACAAGCUUGCUUGUUGGGGUUGUAGGACACUCUAUACGGAGUUACAAA
rnacentral:rRNA from 1 species